rnacentral:rRNA from 1 species
UACGAAGGGGGCUAGCGUUGCUCGGAAUCACUGGGCGUAAAGGGCGCGUAGGCGGCUUCGCAAGUCGGCCGUGAAAGCGCCAGGCUUAACCUGGCGAGGUCGGGCGAGACUGCGGGGCUCGAGGCAGGCAGAGGGCGGUGGAAUUCCGGGUGUAGUGGUGGAAUGCGUAGAGAUCCGGAGGAACACCAGUGGCGAAGGCGGCCGCCUGGGCCUGUCCUGACGCUGAGGAGCGAAAGCGUGGGGAGCAAACAGG